ACUGGUGAAGAUGGAAUAAUGCAAAGUUGCCACUGGAAAAAAAAGAAAGCUACUUUAAGAGGGAUUCUCUGAACAGAGAGAUAAAUUCUGUCUCACCCAGACUCUGCUGAAGGAAAAUGGAGCAAGGACUUGAAAUAAAAAAUAAAAGUCAGACCACAAUGUAUACUUAAAAAUCUACUGUUUGUGUUGCCAGUAUCAACAGCCUAGAUCCUGGAGUUGUUUCAAAUUAUUCAGAAAAGCAAUUAUCUUUGGAACCUGGCUGACAUUAGACCACCUGAUUACAUUAAUUUCAUAAAAUUCAGGGAAUUUACAUAGUUGGAAAGUUGCACAUUGAACUCAAUAUUGUGUAAUCUUGAAAUGUUAACUUUUGCAAGCCAUGUAGUCACUCUGUAUGGAAGAGUAGGUGAUAUUUCUGCUCCAGUAACCUUCUCAAGACUCAGCAAAUAGACUCGGCAGGGGUUAACCUGCAGGAUGUCCAUAACUGAGCAGAAUUUCUCCUCAUCUGUAGUGAUAAAAAAAUCAGCAGAAUUUUCUUCUUUUCAUAUGUAAGAGAGAGUGUGAAGUCUUCAAAAAAUGCAUAAGGACAGAAAGCUGAAAUGCAAUAGACUUUGUCAUAAUUUGUCCUCCUGUGCUGGAUGAAUAUAGUGCUGAGUGACUGGCUGAUAUUUUAAGAUCCAAUUCUUCCCUUUUUUAUUAGAAGACAUUGUAAAUGGUCUUCCUUGGUAUACAGCCCUUCAUUUCUAUCUGCUUAGGAACUCUGGAUUAGAGAAAAAUUUCCUUUUAUUUAAGACUUGAAGGAUACCUCACUUGUAAGAGGCCUAACACUA